UUGAUUCCGGCGGCGGACGACGGGGAAUCGAGAUCUGGAUUCGAAUUCUAGAUAGGGGUAUUGAUGUCUUUUUGUAGCGUUUUCACCUGGUCGGAACAGCUCCCCGACGUCUUAUAUUUCUGGACGGAGGGAGUAGGAGCGAGCGAAGAUCUGGCCAAGCCGGCGUCAUUGGUCACGGCCGCGGCUACAUCGACGACCCCAUCCAAGUACGCCUUCCGUGGUGGUCCUAUUCCUUCCAGCUCGCUCCGAGAGGGGAUCCGACCGCCUCUCCUUCAUCACCGGCCAGGCGAGCAUCCUCCCCUCCAACCCAUACCCAGAAUAUCUGGUGUUGACAAGGAAGAAGCCCCUAUGCCGGCACUUCCAAGUUUCAGGUUUUCAUCUACCUUAAUCUCCCAUGGUACUAUAUCGAUGAUACAAAAUGCCAGCUUGGAUGGUUGGACCUCUUUGAUGUGCUAGAACAUUGUGGAAUCUGGGAUUGAGUUAGUACCAGAUAUCAUCUUCUUGAGGACCCCUACAUCUUUGAGAUCCUUACAUGUAGGAACGUGAAGUAGGUCUGGUAGGACGGACAGAGGGAAGGUGAGGAAAGCUCCCUAAGCCGAAGGAGAGAUGGUGCCCGGAGGAGCACUAGCGCUUCCUCGACAGUCUCCUCAGGUUUGACCGCGCCUAGAAGAAGAUCGAGGAGCACAUCUGCACCAAGACCGUGGUACUGGUAAUUCAAAUUCAUUCCCGCUCAUUAUGUAGAAGCUUGGCCUUGCCACCAGGCUUCCGCCGCAAUACCCAAGCCGCAGGCUUGCCGUGCCGCAGCCGCCGCAGAGCUCGCCAGCGGUUCUGCACGGGCACCCGCAACAGUGCCCAACUGAUGUGGUUUAGAGUCCCAAUGGCUGGGUUAGAAACAAUUUAGUUCAGUGUCCAUAGCAGGUUCAGAUAAGAUCACUUUUCACACCAAUAUAGAAAUUCAGAACCAACUGAAUAAAAUGUGAAUCAGUAAUGCACACUAAGUGAUAAAAUUUCACAAUAUAUCGAAAUUCACAACCGACUGAAUAAAAUGUGAAUCAGUAAUGCACACUAAGUGAUACGAUUUCACAAUAUUCAUCAUCCAUGGAUUACUAAAUUCACAGUGAGUGAUCCAUGUUUAUUCAGUUACAACUAUCUUCAGAUAUCUGAACCUACACGCUCCCAUUGACUGAAACUUGCUGGUAUGUAAUGGCUGCACAUCUAUGUCUUGUUGUACAUUCAUUUGUUGAAUCGGCUAGCAGUAUGGGAUGCUAAUAAACUGACCGUCUAGAAGGAUUUACACACAUUUUUGGUAUGGCUAAUUGUUUAAAAUAAAUUCUGGGAGACACGAUCUUUCUCUGGUUUGCUUAGGGACAUUGAGAUGAUUGAUGAUAGCUUGAUGAACGGAUUUCCUCUCUAGACCCAUGAUAAAUAUUUGAUGAAUGGCCCAUGCCCUGAGUUUGUCUUAUUUAGUAUGGUAAAAUAUUUUUUUGCUAAUAAUGAUAUGGGCUUAUUAUCUUUCAUGUACAAGUGUUGAAUAAAACAUAAGCGGGACGUCUGCAGCCUCGAAAAAAUACAAGCAAAAGAAGUGGGAUCAUGGUAUUCACUAUUUAUUUAUAUGCAUGAUUCACUUUCUACUUUUUGUGAAAUUCUUUUAAUCAAUUUAUUUUGGGUUUGCUUGGUGGAAUGGUCAUUGUCGCGGGAUGGUGAACAAGUACAAACCCAGAGAUAGUGAAUCAAGGAUUUAUUCUUUGAAUUUCGGGUCCUAUGGAUGCAUGAUUCCUACGCAAAAUCCACUCUCUUAUGUUUCUUGGCAUCUUGUUGUCAUGAUGUGCACUUAUCCUUUCCUAUAUGUACUGGUAUAGAUGAAGCACAUACCAACUUUGAUAAAUGUUGGUAGUUUCCGAUUUCCGCUAUUAAUCAGAUGCCGUUGUAGUUUCCAGAAGGUAUGGCUACCACAUUUACUUGACAAUUAGUCAUACCUCAUUACGUUUUAGAAGCAGAGCAAACAAUGAUAUAUGAAAUUACAAUGGUGAGCUCUAUGCAUGUAAACAUAUAGUUACCAGUGGUGUCUACGCAUAAGACAUGGACAUUGAAUGGUCAAGAAGCGUCAGAAGGUUUAAUUGCGAAUUCAGCGUCUAGAAAGAAUGACAAUAAGAUAUCUUUAUAGAAUUUAUUUGUCAAGUAAUCACAUAUCAUUUUGAUUUAGUAGCAGAAUGAAACAACCGGACCUACUUGAACUUUAUGGUUAUAUGCAUUAUUAGAAUGAAAUCAUUGCAUACAUGUUUCUGAAAAUUGUUGGGAAAACUACUGCUAGCUCAUUCAUUUAGGAGCAAAACUCAACGUUCAAUUGUCGAUAUAUAUUCCCUUCUGUUGAGUAAUUCACAUGUCAGGUAUGGAAGAUGUAGUUAGUGGUUAGCAAUAAUAUAUCUACAGAGAAACAAUAUUUAUUUUCUAUUUUUUGGUUCACAUUCCUUUCUGGCCUUAACUACUUAUUUCUUCUGAAAAUGUGUUCAACAAAUUAGACGAAAAGGACUAGAGAAGGAGAAGCACAGUGAUCUUGAGCACAACAUUACCAUCUACUGUUUGCACCGUCGAUAAUACAGUGGGCAGUGUAGUAGAGGCAGUAGGAAGGAAAGGCAUACCUUACUAUGGAUAUUAAUUAUUGUAAAAAAGUAUUUAUUAGGUAAUUGGUGAUAUUCAAGCUGACUUGUAAAGAUCUAUUUUUCCUGGUGCCAUACUAUUUCAUAAUUGAGUGAGCAUAUUUGGAGUA